ACGGGAGGCAGCAGUGAGGAAUAUUGGUCAAUGGACGGAAGUCUGAACCAGCCAUGCCGCGUGAGGGACGAAUGCCCUAUGGGUUGUAAACCUCUUUUGCCUGGGAGUAAUAAGGGUCGUGCGCGGCCCGAUGAGAGUACCAGGCGAAUAAGCAUCGGCUAACUCCGUGCCAGCAGCCGCGGUAAUACGGAGGAUGCAAGCGUUAUCCGGAUUUAUUGGGUUUAAAGGGUGCGCAGGCGGCACGUUAAGUCAGCGGUGAAAUGUCGGGGCUCAACCCGGGCACUGCCGUUGAAACUGGCGAGCUUGAGUACGGAUGAAGUCGGCGGAAUGUGAUGUGUAGCGGUGAAAUGCUUAGAUAUGUCACAGAACACCGAUUGCGAAGGCAGCUGACUAAUCCGCAACUGACGCUCAGGCACGAAAGCGUGGGGAUCGAACAGGAUUAGAUACCCUGGUA
rnacentral:rRNA from 1 species